UUAAAGAAAGCGUAAUAGCUCACUGGUCGAGUCGGCCUGCGCGGAAGAUGUAACGGGGCUAAACCAUGCACCGAAGCUGCGGCAGCGACGCUGAUGCGUUGUUGGGUAGGGGAGCGUUCUGUAAGCCUGUGAAGGUGUGCUGUGAGGCAUGCUGGAGGUAUCAGAAGUGCGAAUGCUGACAUAAGUAACGAUAAAGCGGGUGAAAAGCCCGCUCGCCGGAAGACCAAGGGUUCCUGUCCAACGUUAAUCGGGGCAGGGUGAGUCGACCCCUAAGGCGAGGCCGAAAGGCGUAGUCGAUGGGAAACAGGUUAAUAUUCCUGUACUUGGUGUUACUGCGAAGGGGGGACGGAGAAGGCUAUGUUGGCCGGGCGACGGUUGUCCCGGUUUAAGCGUGUAGGCUGGUUUUCCAGGCAAAUCCGGAAAAUCAAGGCUGAGGCGUGAUGACGAGGCACUACGGUGCUGAAGCAACAAAUGCCCUGCUUCCAGGAAAAGCCUCUAAGCAUCAGGUAACAUCAAAUCGUACCCCAAACCGACACAGGUGGUCAGGUAGAGAAUACCAAGGCGCUUGAGAGAACUCGGGUGAAGGAACUAGGCAAAAUGGUGCCGUAACUUCGGGAGAAGGCACGCUGAUAUGUAGGUGAAGUCCCUCGCGGAUGGAGCUGAAAUCAGUCGAAGAUACCAGCUGGCUGCAACUGUUUAUUAAAAACACAGCACUGUGCAAACACGAAAGUGGACGUAUACGGUGUGACGCCUGCCCGGUGCCGGAAGGUUAAUUGAUGGGGUCAGCGCAAGCGAAGCUCUUGAUCGAAGCCCCGGUAAACGGCGGCCGUAACUAUAACGGUCCUAAGGUAGCGAAAUUCCUUGUCGGGUAAGUUCCGACCUGCACGAAUGGCGUAAUGAUGGCCAGGCUGUCUCCACCCGAGACUCAGUGAAAUUGAACUCGCUGUGAAGAUGCAGUGUACCCGCGGCAAGACGGAAAGACCCCGUGAACCUUUACUAUAGCUUGACACUGAACAUUGAGCCUUGAUGUGUAGGAUAGGUGGGAGGCUUUGAAGUGUGGACGCCAGUCUGCAUGGAGCCGGCCUUGAAAUACCACCCUUUAAUGUUUGAUGUUCUAACGUUGACCCGUGAUCCGGGUUGCGGACAGUGUCUGGUGGGUAGUUUGACUGGGGCGGUCUCCUCCUAAAGAGUAACGGAGGAGCACGAAGGUUGGCUAAUCCUGGUCGGACAUCAGGAGGUUAGUGCAAUGGCAUAAGCCAGCUUGACUGCGAGCGUGACGGCGCGAGCAGGUGCGAAAGCAGGUCAUAGUGAUCCGGUGGUUCUGAAUGGAAGGGCCAUCGCUCAACGGAUAAAAGGUACUCCGGGGAUAACAGGCUGAUACCGCCCAAGAGUUCAUAUCGACGGCGGUGUUUGGCACCUCGAUGUCGGCUCAUCACAUCCUGGGGCUGAAGUAGGUCCCAAGGGUAUGGCUGUUCGCCAUUUAAAGUGGUACGCGAGCUGGGUUUAGAACGUCGUGAGACAGUUCGGUCCCUAUCUGCCGUGGGCGCUGGAGAACUGAGGGGGGCUGCUCCUAGUACGAGAGGACCGGAGUGGACGCAUCACUGGUGUUCGGGUUGUCAUGCCAAUGGCACUGCCCGGUAGCUAAAUGCGGAAGAGAUAAGUGCUGAAAGCAUCUAAGCACGAAACUUGCCCCGAGAUGAGUUCUCCCUGACUCCUUGAGAGUCCUGAAGGAACGUUGAAGACGACGACGUUGAUAGGCCGGGUGUGUAAGCGCAGCGAUGCGUUGAGCUAACCGGUACUAAUGAACCGUGAGGCUUAACCUUACAACGCCGAAG
rnacentral:rRNA from 1 species